rnacentral:rRNA from 1 species
UACGUAGGCAGCGAGCGUUGUUCGGAGUUACUGGGCGUAAAGGGUGUGUAGGCGGUUGCUUAAGUUUGGUGUGAAAUCUCCCGGCUCAACCGGGAGGGUGCGCCGAAUACUGAGUGACUAGAGUGCGGGAGAGGAAAGUGGGAAUUCCUGGUGUAGCGGUGAAAUGCGUAGAUAUCAGGAGGAACACCGGUGGUGUAGACGGCUUUUCUGGACCGUAACUGACGCUGAGACACGAAAGCGUGGGUAGCAAACAGG